CUAAGUACACUGAGCCCACGCUUUGCUUUUCUCUUUAAUUUCCUCAGUUACAUAUUUGCAAAAGUCAGAAGGUAAAUCUCUUGACUUCUGUAGAAACACACAGACAACCCUGCUCCCAGACUGAUCAGGAAAUGGCUAAUCAUCGCGGAGAAAGACGUAAAGGGAACCUUGGAAACAUCAGGAACAUUUUGUGAUCAGAAAAAUGCCAAGGGCUUCAGCAACAGCAGCUGUGAUGAAAGGAUUUCCCAGAAAUGAGCUUGUGAAACCGAUCUUGUCAUAAAUUUGUUGAAUGUAGUUGCUGCCUUGCCAUCCAUUAUGAGUCCUAUACAAGUGAUUUGAAACCCAGUGGUACCUCAUCACCUUUGAUCUAAACUCUACCUCCCAUGUGAUUGCUUGUGAUAUAGCUCACUUGUUCCUCAUAUCAUGGAUUCAAAACCCAAAACAUACUGCUGCUGAUGAUCAUGAUAAAACUUAAUGGUUAUCACCAGAGUCUCCCAGGCAAGUUUCCUCCCAUUCUUUAAGCAGACAAUCCACAACCCGGAGAGAAAGCUGAAGAAAGCAAGCCGAAAGAAAGGGUGUAGCCCACAGGUCUGAUUCCUCCCACCCGCUGGUGAGUUUCCUACCACCUCUGGCUUUCCAGUGGGUCUCCUGGCGACACUCCCAAGCUCUCCAGAACUGGCAGAGUUACAGAAAGAGGUAGAGACAGAGAGACAUGUCUUCCAUCCACUGGUUCACUCCCCAGAUGACUGCAAUGGCUGGAGCUGAGCCUAUCUGAAGCCAGGAACCAGGAGCUUCUUCCGGGUCUCCCAUGUGGGUACAGGGUCCUAAGGACUUGGGCUAUCUUCUACUGCUUUCCCAGGCCAUAGAAGAGAGCUAGAUCGGAAGAGGAGCAGCCAGGACUAGAACAGGCACCCAUAUGGAAUGCCAGUGCUUCAGGCCAGGGCGUUAACCUGCUGAGUCACAUCACCGAACCCCAUGUUAGCUUGUUCUUAACAAGCUAGUUAACUGUAUAGAUACUCCUCAACUUAGGAUGGGGUUGCAUCUCAAUAAGCAUGUUGCAAGUUGAAAACAUCAUAAGCUGAAAAUCUUUUUACUUUACCUAACCUAAUUAACAUCAGAGCUCGGCAAAACAGCACACUACAGAGUUUCCCUCAAAUCACAUGGUCACCUGUGAGCUGUCUUACUGCUCGUUGCCACUGCCCAUCUUGAAAAGAGGAUCAUACAGCAUAUCCAGCCAAAGACUGAAGUGCUGAUUACAACUUCCACUGGACGUGUAUCAUUUUUGCUCCAUUAUAAAGUUAGAAAAAUCAUAAAUCAGGAGCUGUCUUACUUAUUAGGAUAAACUCACAAAAGUGGAACUACUUUACCCUUGUAAAUUUUGAAGGCUCUUGGUGCAUGUUGUCUAAGUGCCUCAGUGUACACAAUUCUCAUUAACGAUAUCACAUUAUAUGGCAAUUAUAUGUGCAUUGACUUGUGUCUAGAGCAAACAAAGAAGUCUGCAAGAGACAUUGUAAGGCCUUAUUAAAUCCCUGUUCCCUGAGUGUCUGCCAAGAGGAAAGAUACACAACACAUAGUCAACCACUGUUUGCUUAGUGAAUGAAUAGCUGUAUCUUUCCUUAAACCCAUCUGAACAGCACCACCUUUUCAGAAUUUCAAUGAAGGCCCCGCCUCUCAUUCUUUCUGGAGAUCCCUGUUGUUCAACAAAAUCAGGUGGGUUAAGCUGGCAAUGGCAGUAGUUCUCUCCUGGGGAGACUGUUCUAAAAUGCAGGUUUCUCCUGAAUAUAGCACUACUGCAGGACCCAGCCAUCCCACUCCUUGGAAUAUACCCAAAUGGAAUUAAAGGGGUGAAAAAAGCCAUUUGCACCUCAAUAUUUGUUGCAGCUCAAUUCACAAUAGCUAAGACAUGGAAUCAACCUAAAUGUCCAUCAACGGAUGACUGGAUAAAGAAACUAUGGGAUAUGUACUCUAUGGAACACUAUACAGCAGUAAAAAACAAUGAAAUCCGGGCAUUUACAACAAAAUGGAGGAAGCUGGAAAACAUCAUGCUGAGUGAAAUAAGCCAGUCCAAAAGGGACAAAUAUCACAUGUUCUCCCUGAUCGAUGGCAACUAAACGAGCACCUAAAAUGAUACCCAUUGAAGUGAAAUGGACACUAUGAGAGACAAUGACAUGAGCAGCCCUUGGCUAGACUAUUGAGGAACAACUUACUACUUUGUUCCUUUAGUAUUUUUGUUGUUGUUGUUGCUCGAUUUACUCUACACAAGACCACUGGUUGAACUCUGCAAUCAAUGCACAACCAUUCUUAAGCAUUUAAAAAUUAACAGAAAAUUGAUCUCUGUGGAAUAUGGGAGUGGGAAUAAGAGAGGGAGGAGAUAUAUAGGACAGCACAUACUCACUCAGACCUACCUCCAAUGGUGGAACUGGAAAUGUGCCAGGGGAUUUCAACUCAACCUUACCAAGGAGGCAGGUACCAAUGCCAGCACACUUGGUAAAGUGACAAAUAUAAAUACACAACUGAUCAAAAAGAUAGGGUAAGUGUCAAAGAGAUUACACAAAUAAGACCAGUGUAAGCAAAUAAUGAAAGAUAGAAUCAAAAGGGAGAGAAUGAUCCUGCGGGGGAAGCAGAACACACAGCAGACUCAUAGAAUGGCAAAUGUCCAAAACAGCACUCCUGCCUCAGAAUCAACCCUUGGGACAUACAGAUCUGACUAAAAGGUCCAUGACAGUCUUGCAGGCAUGGAAAGCCAUGACACGGUGGCAAAAAAAAACAAUCUAAAUGAAGGAUCCUGGUGAACAACACCCCAGCAGAAGGAUCAGGCCAUCAAGGAGAGAGGCGCCUUUCUCUGAAGGGAGGAAGGAACCUCCACUGUGAUAUGGCCUUGACUAAACAAAUUCAGAGUUGCUGAACUCAAGGGGCUUCCAUAGCCUAGACAGCUCAUAGCAAGAGUCUCGGGUGAUUGCUGACAUCAUAAAUAAGAGUGCCAAUUGUUAAAUCAACAACGGGAGUCACUGGGUUCAUGCUCCCCACACAGGAUCUCUGUCCUUAAUAUGUUUAACUAUGAAACUCAAAAACAACACUACUAGUCGAACAAUACCCUAUACCUGGUCCGGUUGUGUGAGUGCAACCUGUUGAAAUCCCUGCUUAGUAUAUACUAAGUUGAUCUUCAGUAUAUGAAGGUAAUUGAAAAUGAAACGUGAUGAAGGGCGGGAUGGGAGAGGGAGUGGGUGAGGGGAGGGCCACGGGAGGGAGGGAGGUCGGCGGGGGGGAAGCCACAACAAUACAAAAGAUGCAUUUUAUAUUCUACUUAAAACUAUUGGUUGAACUCUGUAAUUAAUACACAAUUACUCUUAGGUGUUUAAUUAAUGCUAUAACUAGUACUCAAAUAGUAUUUUACACUUUGUGUUUCUGUGUGGGAGCAAAAUGUGGAAACCUUUACUUAACAUACGCUAAAUUGAUCUUCUGUAUAUAAAGAUAAUUGAAAAUUAAUCAUGAUGUGAAGGGGAAGGGGAGAGGGAGUGGGAGAGGGGAGCAUUGUGGGUGGGAGGGAAGAUAUGGGGGGGGAGGCUAUUGUGGUCCAUAAGCUGUACUUUGGAAAUUUAUGCUCAUUAAAUAAAAAAAAUAAUAAUAAAAAUAAAUAAAUAAAUAAAAUGCAGGUUUCUGUGUUCUGCUUGAAGAUUCUCAUUCAGAAAGUUUCAAGAGGGGUUCAGGCGAAGAAUUUUCAUUUAAAGACCUCCAACCACCACUAUUCCUGAUGCACAUGAACCUCUGUACGAGGGUACUUCAAAAGGUUGUGGAGGGGGCUGGCUCCGUGGCUCACUUGGUUAAUCCUCCACCUGCGACGCUGGCAUCCCAUAUGGGCACCUGUUCUAGUCCCAGGUGCUCCUCUUCCAGUCCAGCUCUCUUCUGUGGCCUGGGAGGGCAGUGGAGGAUGGCCCAAGUGUUUGGGCCCCUGCACCCACAUGGGAUACCAGGGAGAAGCACCUGGCUCCUGGCUUCGGAUCGGCACAGCGCUGGCCGUGGCGGCCAUUUGGGGAGUGAACCAACAGAAGGAAGACCUUUCUCUCUCUCUCUCUCUCUCUCUCUCUGUCCAUAACUCUACCUUUCAAAUAAAUAAAAAGAAAAAAAAAAGGUUAUGGAAAAGUAGAAUUAAAAGGCAAGUUUAUUUUCACGCAAAAAAGUUUUUGAACUUCAGGCAUAUGUUUUUGUAAUAAACACAUUUUCCAUGAACUUGUUUGAAGACCAUUCAUAUUCCAUUUUCUCAAGAACUGGUCUCUGGAAUCUUUACUUCAUAUCGCAGAAAUCUGAAGUUCUUUUAAACUCCGUGACUGUAGAAUGCAUUUUUUUAAAUGACCAGUCAAAGCAAACUCAGAAACCUUACAGCUUAUCCAUAGUAUUUGCUGGUCAAUAGAAGCUGCUAAGGCAGCUGGAGUUCAUAUUGAUUAGGAGGUGAAAGAAAUGAACUAAGGAUAAAAACGUCAUAGCACUAUUUGGCCUUACACAAAUUAUCUCCCUUUGUAACCUGUUCAUGGUGUGCUGGAAACCAAGUUGGACUGCUGGAUUUUUGGCAGACCAUGGAAACUGUGCUGUCAUUCAGUCUCAUUUCGUUUGUUCCAGAAUGUCCUUAGGCAGGAGCUGGAGGUGGCCUCCAUGGGGAGUGUCAGAAAUAAAGGCCAUGGAGGCAGAGCUCAACAGCUCCCCUGUGACCUGCCUCACAGGUGAAGAUUUGAAGGAACGAGCCCUCAGCAAGUUCUUCAAACUCAUGGGUCAGUGGCAAGUAGUACAGCUGAGACUCAGAAGCCUGUCCACUGAUGUGAUGCCACAAGUGGGAAAUUCCACACCUGACCUCAUGGGACAAGUCACAGUCAAAACACAGAAACAGGGACAGGCAUUUGGUACAUGCGUUAAGACGCUGCUUGUGACACCCACGCGCCAUGCCGAAGUGUCUGGGUUCAAGUCCCGGCUCCACUUCAGAUUCCAGCUUUCUACUAAUGUAAACCCUAGUAGGUAGCAGAUGCUGACUCAAGUGCUUGGGUCCCUGCCACCUACAUGGGAAACUGAGAUGAAUUACAGGCCCCCAGCCCAAUCCCCACUACUGCAGGCAUCUAAGGAAUGAAACUAGUGUAUGGGAGAUCUCUGUCUGUCAGUCUCUCUCUCUGUCCCUCUCUCUCUGUCUAUCUACUUUUCAAAUAAAAAGAUAUUUAAUUUUUUAAAUAAGCACACUAAAAAUACUAUAUAAAGUUAUCUUCAAGCUCUGUGCAAAAGGUGCAUAUGAAAUACAAAUGAAUUUUAUGUUUAGACCUCAGAUCCACACUCAAGAUAUCUCAUUAUCUAUAUGCAAAUAUUCCCAUAUUAAAAAAGAUCCAAAACCUAAAAAACUUCUGAUCCCAAGCAUUUUGAAUAAAGGAUGCUUAAGUUUCCAUGAAGAUGUACUCGUAAGCUUGAUUGUCAGUUCACAGAGUUUGGGUUCAUUUACUUCUUGGUACAUCUACAUGUAGCUCUUCUCAGAAUGAUUUCUAUUACCCAACUACUGUAAGCCUCAGAUGAGAAAACAGAGAUGCUAUCAUACCUCACUCUUCUCUUCUAUAAAAUAAAAAUAGAGUUGUUGGGAAGAUUAUAGUAGAUGACUUAGCAAAGUGCCCAUUACAUAAUUCAGGUGGUCAAUCACUUUCCCUCUCUUUUUCCUCCCUACUCUCAACCCACCCUUACUCUCAGUACUCAUCUCUCCAUGACUGAUUAGGGCUACUACUAUACAUAUUCCUGUAUAUUACUUUCUAAAUAACCAAUAAGAACUGGUUGAAAAUAUGACUAUAUACUAGUAUGUUUAUUAUGGAUUACAUGGUGAAAAUACAAGUAUAAAUCAUGCAUACCCUCAGUGUAUUCACAAGCUGGAAAGAGAAAUACAAAA